CCGGCGAUGUCCGAAUGGGGAAACCCAGUGCAAUUCGUUGCACUAUCGUUAACUGAAUACAUAGGUUAACGAGGCGAACCGGGGGAACUGAAACAUCUAAGUACCCCGAGGAAAAGAAAUCAACCGAGAUUCCCCCAGUAGCGGCGAGCGAACGGGGAGCAGCCCAGAGUCUGAAUCAGCUUGUGUGUUAGUGGAACGGUCUGGAAAGUCCGACGGUACAGGGUGAUAGUCCCGUACACCAAAAUGCACAGGCUGUGAACUCGAAGAGUAGGGCGGGACACGUGGUAUCCUGUCUGAAUAUGGGGGGACCAUCCUCCAAGGCUAAAUACUCCUGACUGACCGAUAGUGAACCAGUACCGUGAGGGAAAGGCGAAAAGAACCCCGGCGAGGGGAGUGAAAAAGAACCUGAAACCGUGUACGUACAAGCAGUGGGAGCACCUUCGGGUGUGACUGCGUACCUUUUGUAUAAUGGGUCAGCGACUUAUAUUCUGUAGCAAGGUUAACCGUAUAGGGGAGCCGCAGGGAAACCGAGUCUUAACUGGGCGUUAAGUUGCAGGGUAUAGACCCGAAACCCGGUGAUCUAGCCAUGGGCAGGUUGAAGGUUGGGUAACACUAACUGGAGGACCGAACCGACUAAUGUUGAAAAAUUAGCGGAUGACUUGUGGCUGGGGGUGAAAGGCCAAUCAAACCGGGAGAUAGCUGGUUCUCCCCGAAAGCUAUUUAGGUAGCGCCUCGUGAACUCAUCUUCGGGGGUAGAGCACUGUUUCGGCUAGGGGGUCAUCCCGACUUACCAACCCGAUGCAAACUACGAAUACCGAAGAAUGUUAUCACGGGAGACACACGGCGGGUGCUAACGUCCGUCGUGAAGAGGGAAACAACCCAGACCGCCAGCUAAGGUCCCAAAGUCAUGGUUAAGUGGGAAACGAUGUGGGAAGGCACAGACAGCCAGGAUGUUGGCUUAGAAGCAGCCAUCAUUUAAAGAAAGCGUAAUAGCUCACUGGUCGAGUCGGCCUGCGCGGAAGAUGUAACGGGGCUAAACCAUGCACCGAAGCUGCGGCAGCGACACUAUGUGUUGUUGGGUAGGGGAGCGUUCUGUAAGCCUGCGAAGGUGUGCUGUGAGGCAUGCUGGAGGUAUCAGAAGUGCGAAUGCUGACAUAAGUAACGAUAAAGCGGGUGAAAAGCCCGCUCGCCGGAAGACCAAGGGUUCCUGUCCAACGUUAAUCGGGGCAGGGUGAGUCGACCCCUAAGGCGAGGCCGAAAGGCGUAGUCGAUGGGAAACAGGUUAAUAUUCCUGUACUUGGUGUUACUGCGAAGGGGGGACGGAGAAGGCUAUGUUAGCCGGGCGACGGUUGUCCCGGUUUAAGCAUGUAGGCUGGUNNNNNNNNNNNNNNNNNNNNNNNNNNNNNNNNNNNNNNNNNNNNNNNNNNNNNNNNNNNNNNNNNNNNNNNNNNNNNNNNNNNNNNNNNNNNNNNNNUAAAUCGUACCCCAAACCGACACAGGUGGUCAGGUAGAGAAUACCAAGGCGCUUGAGAGAACUCGGGUGAAGGAACUAGGCAAAAUGGUGCCGUAACUUCGGGAGAAGGCACGCUGGUGUGUAGGUGAAGUCCCUGCGGAUGGAGCUGAGACCAGUCGAAGAUACCAGCUGGCUGCAACUGUUUAUUAAAAACACAGCACUGUGCAAACACGAAAGUGGACGUAUACGGUGUGACGCCUGCCCGGUGCCGGAAGGUUAAUUGAUGGGGUUAUCCGUAAGGAGAAGCUCUUGAUCGAAGCCCCGGUAAACGGCGGCCGUAACUAUAACGGUCCUAAGGUAGCGAAAUUCCUUGUCGGGUAAGUUCCGACCUGCACGAAUGGCGUAAUGAUGGCCAGGCUGUCUCCACCCGAGACUCAGUGAAAUUGAACUCGCUGUGAAGAUGCAGUGUACCCGCGGCAAGACGGAAAGACCCCGUGAACCUUUACUAUAGCUUGACACUGAACAUUGAGCCUUGAUGUGUAGGAUAGGUGGGAGGCUUUGAAGCGUGGACGCCAGUCUGCGUGGAGCCAACCUUGAAAUACCACCCUUUAAUGUUUGAUGUUCUAACGUUGGCCCCUGACCGGGGUUGCGGACAGUGUCUGGUGGGUAGUUUGACUGGGGCGGUCUCCUCCCAAAGCGUAACGGAGGAGCACGAAGGUUAGCUAAUCCUGGUCGGACAUCAGGAGGUUAGUGCAAUGGCAUAAGCUAGCUUGACUGCGAGCGUGACGGCGCGAGCAGGUGCGAAAGCAGGUCAUAGUGAUCCGGUGGUUCUGAAUGGAAGGGCCAUCGCUCAACGGAUAAAAGGUACUCCGGGGAUAACAGGCUGAUACCGCCCAAGAGUUCAUAUCGACGGCGGUGUUUGGCACCUCGAUGUCGGCUCAUCACAUCCUGGGGCUGAAGUAGGUCCCAAGGGUAUGGCUGUUCGCCAUUUAAAGUGGUACGCGAGCUGGGUUUAGAACGUCGUGAGACAGUUCGGUCCCUAUCUGCCGUGGGCGCUGGAGAAUUGAGGGGGGCUGCUCCUAGUACGAGAGGACCGGAGUGGACGCAUCACUGGUGUUCGGGUUGUCAUGCCAAUGGCACUGCCCGGUAGCUAAAUGCGGAAGAGAUAAGUGCUGAAAGCAUCUAAGCACGAAACUUGCCCCGAGAUGAGUUCUCCCUGAGACU
rnacentral:rRNA from 1 species